AACGACGCCUAAAAAGGUGUGAUUUGAGAACUGGCAACCCCGAUAAAGCAGCUAAUGACGCAUGCUUAGGUAACUAUUUGAAUUCACGCGCCUUUUCAAUCUUAUCUCCUUUUCAAAUUACAAUCGAUUAAGCACCCUACUGACUCAUCUCUUCAAUCUUUUAAUAAAAUCGUUAUCUCCAUAAAUAACCAAAGGCUUAUUAUAGUUUCAACCCUUCGUUUGAAAAUCAUCGCAUAACUUCGUUUGGAACCGAAGCUAUAUAUUUAUGAAUUGAUUCUUAAUCCAACCAGAUUUUUGGAAAAUCCAAGAUUUUGGUGCAAGAAAGUGUCAAAGAUAAAGAAAUAAAAACAAACUAUUUGUGGGAUUUUGUGAAGUCAUAAAAGACAUAAAGUAGUUGAUCCUGGGCACGAAUCGCUUCCUUUAAAAUCUGAAUAGACUUCAAAGUGCUUGUAUGGGUUCCUGUUAAAUGACGAUCAAGUACUUGUUAAGAAACAUUGAAAGGCAUCUUUUUCUAAAUAAGGCUAUUAAGGGUGGCUUUCGCUUCAAUCCAGGUUUCAGUACUUGACAUAAGACAAAAAGUGGAAUGAAGUACUUGUGAGACCAAUGUGGCCUUUUAAACAAGUAGGUGUGAAUCAUAUUCAGUGACAUGUUGAAAUUAAAUAACUAGAAAUCUUAUUUAAAAAUUAAAAUUGGACCCUUCGGGAAGAAAAGUCUUGGUGAUAGGCAGUUUCAUAAGGAUCUCUCACAAGAAUAGGAGAUUUCAAGGUACAUCCACAAUAGUGGUUUCGUUAAUUCAAGCUGAAAGCUAGAACAUUUAUUUGUUCACUGUCAAUACAUUAUAGGUAUUGAAUUUUUGGUUUCACUUAGCACGUAGUGACACAAAAGUAAGAUCAUAAACACAGAAGUUGUGUAACCAUAAACCUCAGUGGUAGUGNGUUGUGUAACCAUAAACCUCAAUGGUAGUGUUGAGAGUCUCAAGGGUUACAAUUAUGAAAUGAAUGAUUAAUGGAGAAUAAGAUUAACGGUGAUAAAGAACGAAUGUACCUCUGCUAUAAAAUAGGACCAAGCAGGAAAUGUCUUGACUCAUGUUAGAGUAGAGUUAGGUAGCUCAUGAUGAGUGUGCGUUUGUCAGCCUAAUUGGGAAGACAUGAUUAGUGUAUAUCAAGUCAUUAAGGCUUCACUCAACAAAUUUAGAGGCUU
rnacentral:lncRNA from 1 species